rnacentral:tRNA from 1 species
GCCUGGAUAGCUCAGUUGGUUAGAGCGGGGUGCUGAUAACGCCAAGGUUACAGGUUCGAUCCCUGUACAGUGGUAUCUCGGGUU